ensembl:lncRNA
AAAGUUUGCUCACUCUGUGAGUUGGCUUUCCAUCACUAUAACAAGAGCCUGAGAUAAUCAGCUUAUAAAGAAAGGGUUCAUUUUGGCUCACAGUUUCAGAGGUUUGAGUCCAUGGUCAUUUGACCCCACUGUUUUGGGCCUGUGAUGGCAGCAAUCAUGGCAGAGCAAAACCCAUCACUUUAUGCCUGGUGCAAAAGACAGAAACAGGAAGGGCUCGGCCCCACAAUCAGUUCAUAGGGCAAAUGCCAGUAACCUUGCAGACCUCCCACUAGACCCCACCCCUUAAAGGGUCUUCUACCUCCCAGUAGCACUAAGCUGGGGACUAACAUGGGCCCUUGAGGGGGCAGCCUAGAUCCAAACUGAAGUCUGACUCAAGGAAGGAAUCAGGCAGCAGUAUCCUCUUAAUUCAGGAAUUUAGUUACCACUCAUGGGCAAGAGAAGUGACCACACUUCAAUGUCAAAGUGUUUACACACCAGAAUUUCACUUGAGGAAAGAUGAAUUUUCUACCAAACCAUGAAAGCUGCCUGUCCCAGUUUGUUUAGAAUAUGCUAUUCCAGGGAGCUCAUCAUUUGUUCAGAGUUGUCUGCAGCCACAGUGAGUCAUAUUCCAUGAAGGACUUGAGUAGUUUCCUGUAGCACUGUGUACACCAUGGAAGAGAAGAGCAUCAAGUGCUUUCUCUUAGUGAUGUGGGGAUGGGUGAGAUGGCAAAGGAGAAGAAUCAAGUCAUUUCAAGGAUGGCCAAGAAGGCAGGCAGCCCUGUAUAAUUGCAGAAAACAGAAGAAACUGGAUUGGGAACUUGAUAAAAGGCUUGUCAAAGAAAUACAUUCUGUUUAAAUCUUGGUAGCAAGAAAUGCUUGUGUUCCAUAGCUGUGCCCUGUGGUUCUCCAUUUUAAAGGGAUGUUCUCAAAAUAUUUUACACUCUCUCUAGGGACAUCACAGUAAAGGACAAGUGUGGAUUUGCACCCACGCCCUUUGCACACCUCCCCUAAGCUGCUCACGGUAGCCAGUGCUUUACAGCUCAGGGGCCAGAUGCCAACCAUGCUGCUUGGGCCUUGAGGCCAGUGUUGGGCUUGCCAACCCCUGUCACCCUCACCCGUGCAGUCUUGAGGAGCAGGUAUUUACAUUUUACACUCAGGCCUAUAUAAGGUCACUUUCUUUGUAAGGAGCAUGUAUCACUUAGCAAGAAAGUUAGAAAGGCAAAUGUGUUUUCUAAGCUUUAAAAAUAAAAUCAGCUUUAGAAUUCUGUGCGGUAAUGUGCAAUGCAGCAAAAUUACCUUUGGUAAAUUAUUUAUUUAUUUCAUUGUUUUGUUUUUCAUGAUGUUGAGUUUUCCUUUCAAUAAUGAAUCAUGUGAGCGACCUAGAACUUUGUCCUGUUACUGAAUUAUAUUUUGCAGGUACAAAUUAAGAAAACUAAGGGAACAUCUGGGUGUGUACAUGUUUUUUGUUUCACUAAUUUUUUUAUUCAAAGUAAGAAUAAUGAUCACUUUCCACAUUUGGCAGUAUCGUGUUGCACACUUGCACAAGGGUGUUGAAACUCAAUAAAAUUAAGGUUCAUGCAAUGGCCCUUAGACUCAGUGCUUCCUUGUGAUUUGAACAGAUUUCUGUCCUUUGAAUCUUCCUGUAAGAAUGAUUAGUUGAAUUUGAGUCUAAAUUCAGUAAAAUAAAUUGAGUCUGAGUACAAAG